GCGGCAGGCCUAACACAUGCAAGUCGAACGGUAACAGGAAGCAGCUUGCUGCUUUGCUGACGAGUGGCGGACGGGUGAGUAAUGUCUGGGAAACUGCCUGAUGGAGGGGGAUAACUACUGGAAACGGUGGCUAAUACCGCAUAACGUCGCAAGACCAAAGAGGGGGACCUUCGGGCCUCUUGCCAUCAGAUGUGCCCAGAUGGGAUUAGCUUGUUGGUGAGGUAACGGCUCACCAAGGCGACGAUCCCUAGCUGGUCUGAGAGGAUGACCAGCCACACUGGAACUGAGACACGGUCCAGACUCCUACGGGAGGCAGCAGUGGGGAAUAUUGCACAAUGGGCGCAAGCCUGAUGCAGCCAUGCCGCGUGUAUGAAGAAGGCCUUCGGGUUGUAAAGUACUU
rnacentral:rRNA from 1 species